UGAUGACAAAUCUCCGGAAUCUCUGUAUUUCUUUGAUGAAACACUUGAACCCUUUUUCUGAUGACUGCUGUUCACAAAAAUAAAAAAAUCAGC
ensembl:snoRNA